rnacentral:piRNA from 1 species
GCCUGACUCUGAAGCUUGUUUGG